UUGGUUGAGGAUGGGUUGGAAGGUAGUUAGUAACUGGAAACCUGAAGAGGCCGCAGACUCUAAAACCUUCACACACGGAGGACAGAAUAGAGGACACAAACCAUCUGACAGUGAGAGGAUUCAAGAGAGGCCAGACACGGCAUUCUACACUUCAAGGUUGAACCAGUAAGAACUGAUUUAUUUCCGGUUUCUACAGCUAGUGAACAGUGGAAAAUACGGUUGAUUGAUUGUGUGAAAAAAUAAAAAUGAGAAUGAAGGAUAAUGUAAUGAGGAUGAAUACUUUGGCCUCCAUUUUAACACCAGAAAACGAAUAAUUCUUAAAUGAUGUUCCUGUUUCUGGUUUUAUCAGUCCUACUUCUCGUGGAUGAAAGCAGAAGUAGGGUUACCAUGUUUCAACAGCAAUCCUGUUAUUAUCAGGGUUACAGUAAGGAGCUAAAGUGUCAAUGCAGUACUGAUCAGACAUCUUCCUACCUUCACCUUAGGAUGGAAUACUUUGUUAAAAACGCCGGACAA